AUUGAACGCUGGCGGCAGGCCUAACACAUGCAAGUCGAGCGGAUGAGAGGAGCUUGCUCCUCGAUUCAGCGGCGGACGGGUGAGUAAUGCCUAGGAAUCUGCCUAGUAGUGGGGGACAACGUUUCGAAAGGAACGCUAAUACCGCAUACGUCCUACGGGAGAAAGUGGGGGAUCUUCGGACCUCACGCUAUUAGAUGAGCCUAGGUCGGAUUAGCUAGUUGGUAGGGUAAAGGCCUACCAAGGCGACGAUCCGUAACUGGUCUGAGAGGAUGAUCAGUCACGCUGGAACUGAGACACGGUCCAGACUCCUACGGGAGGCAGCAGUGGGGAAUAUUGGACAAUGGGCGAAAGCCUGAUCCAGCCAUGCCGCGUGUGUGAAGAAGGCCUUCGGGUCGUAAAGCACUUUAAGUUGGGAGGAAGGGCUCAUAGCGAAUACCUGUGAGUUUUGACGUUACCAACAGAAUAAGCACCGGCUAACUUCGUGCCAGCAGCCGCGGUAA
rnacentral:rRNA from 1 species